rnacentral:lncRNA from 1 species
GCAUUUGAAAAAAAAAAAAGUGUGACAAUUCCUGGCUUGGUUAAUCUGGGAUAAUUUACAAUUUAUUUUUUUUUCCUAUCUGUUCCUUUUGGUCUUAAACUGACCUGCUGGAUACAAAGCUUUUACCCUUUAAUUGAUUUUUUUUUUCCCAUCCACUUAUUACAUGGAAUAGAGAUCAGAAGUUCCAAACCAUUUCCAGACUACAAAAAACAUCUAACUGCAGAAACUUUCGUUAGAAGCUUUCAAAGUUGACAGAACUCAGAGGAACAUUGCUUUGAUAAAAAGAAAUCCAUUAGUAACCAUAAAAGCAAUAUGAGAAGGACUUCUGAUGUCAACAAGCCUGUAGUCACAGGCAAAGAAUAAUCAUUCUGAAAAAACAUCACCACAGGUAAGUCUUCUGACUGACACUGGAAAUUAAGGAGAUGAGUUAUCCUUUCUUUCAAAUUCUGCUAAGAUUUUCUUCAAG